CGGCUCGGAUGCAUCAAAAACGAAAAACCCCGCUGUUUCCAGCGGGGUUUUCCUGAUUGUGGAUAACCUGAAAGGUUACUCGACGAUCGAAGCGACGAUGCCGGCGCCGACGGUGCGGCCGCCUUCGCGGAUAGCGAAGCGCAGCUUUUC
rnacentral:sRNA from 2 species